rnacentral:rRNA from 1 species
ACAGUGGACGCGAGCAUCUGUGGCCAAGUUUUUAAGGGCGCACGGUGGAUGCCUUGGCACCAGGAACCGAUGAAGGACGUGGGAGGCCACGAUAGUCCCCGGGGAGUCGUCAACCAGGCUUUGAUCCGGGGGUUUCCGAAUGGGGAAACCCGGCAGUCGUCAUGGGCUGUCACCCGCUGCUGAACACAUAGGCAGUGUGGAGGGAACGAGGGGAAGUGAAACAUCUCAGUACCCUCAGGAAGAGAAAACAACCGUGAUUCCGGGAGUAGUGGCGAGCGAAACCGGAUGAGGCCAAACCGUAUGCGUGUGAUACCCGGCAGGGGUUGCGUAUACGGGGUUGUGGGAUCUCUUUGCUGCGGUCUGCCGGCCGUGGGACGAGUCAGAAACCGUAUGGAUAGGCGAAGGGCAUGCGAAAGGCCCGGCGUAGAGGGUAAGACCCCCGUAGCUGAAAUUCAUGCGGCUCGUUUAAGAGACACCCAAGUAGCACGGGGCCCGAGAAAUCCCGUGUGAAUCUGGCGGGACCACCCGUUAAGCCUAAAUAUUCCCUGGUGACCGAUAGCGGAUAGUACCGUGAGGGAAUGGUGAAAAGUACCGCGGGAGCGGAGUGAAAUAGUACCUGAAACCGUGUGCCUACAAGCCGUGGGAGCGUCGGAGCGUGAGGUUCGCCUUACGUUCUCGUGACUGCGUGCCUUUUGAAGAAUGAGCCUGCGAGUUUGCGGUGUGUUGCGAGGUUAACCCGUGUGGGGAAGCCGUAGCGAAAGCGAGUCCGAAUAGGGCGUUUUAGUAGCGCGCUCAAGACCCGAAGCGGAGUGAUCUAGCCAUGGGCAGGUUGAAGCGGCUGUAAGAGGUCGUGGAGGACCGAACCCACCAGGGUUGAAAACCUGGGGGAUGACCUGUGGUUAGGGGUGAAAGGCCAAUCAAACUCCGUGAUAGCUGGUUCUCCCCGAAAUGCAUUUAGGUGCAGCGUCGUGUGUUUCUUGCCGGAGGUAGAGCACUGGAUAGGCGAUGGGCCCUACCGGGUUACUGACCUUAGCCAAACUCCGAAUGCCGGUAAGUGAGAGCGCGGCAGUGAGACUGUGGGGGAUAAGCUCCAUGGUCGAGAGGGAAACAGCCCAGAGCAUCGACUAAGGCCCCUAAGCGUACGCUAAGUGGGAAAGGAUGUGGAGUCGCAGAGACAACCAGGAGGUUGGCUUAGAAGCAGCCACCCUUGAAAGAGUGCGUAAUAGCUCACUGGUCAAGUGAUUCCGCGCCGACAAUGUAGCGGGGCUCAAGCGUACCGCCGAAGUCGUGUCAAUCCAACAUAUAGCCCCAACGGGUGUUGGGUUGGGUAGGGGAGCGUCGUGUGCCGGGUGAAGCCGCGCCGGAAGGCAGUGGUGGACGGUUCACGAGUGAGAAUGCAGGCAUGAGUAGCGAUACACACGUGAGAAACGUGUGCGCCGAUUGACUAAGGGUUCCUGGGUCAAGCUGAUCUGCCCAGGGUAAGUCGGGACCUAAGGCGAGGCCGACAGGCGUAGUCGAUGGACAACCGGUUGAUAUUCCGGUACCCGCUUUGAAGCGCCCAGUAUCGAAUCCUCUGAUGCUAAGGCCGUGAAGCCGCCUUUGAUCUCUUCGGAGUGAUGGGGAGUGGUGGAGCCGCUGAACCGAGGUGGUAGUAGGUAAGUGAUGGGGUGACGCAGGAAGGUAGUCCAGCCCGGGCGGUGGUUGUCCCGGGGUAAGGGUGUAGCCCGUGCGGUAGGUAAAUCCGUCGCACAUGAGGGUGAGACCUGAUGCCGAGCCGAUUGUGGUGAAGUGGAUGAUCCUAUGCUGUCGAGAAAAGCCUCUAGCGAGUUUCAAGGCGGCCCGUACCCUAAACCGACUCAGGUGGUCAGGUAGAGAAUACCGAGGCGUUCGGGUGAACUAUGGUUAAGGAACUCGGCAAAAUGCCCCCGUAACUUCGGGAGAAGGGGGGCCAUUUCUGGUGAUCAUCUUUACGGUGUGAGCUGGGGGUGGCCGCAGAGACCAGCGAGAAGCGACUGUUUACUAAAAACACAGGUCCGUGCGAAGCCGUAAGGCGAUGUAUACGGACUGACGCCUGCCCGGUGCUGGAACGUUAAGGGGACCGGUUAGUGAUCUUUCGGGGUUGCGAAGCUGAGAACUUAAGCGCCAGUAAACGGCGGUGGUAACUAUAACCAUCCUAAGGUAGCGAAAUUCCUUGUCGGGUAAGUUCCGACCUGCACGAAUGGCGUAACGACUUCUCGACUGUCUCAACCAUAGGCCCGGUGAAAUUGCACUACGAGUAAAGAUGCUCGUUUCGCGCAGCAGGACGGAAAGACCCCGGGACCUUUACUACAGUUUGAUAUUGGUGUUCGGUUCGGCUUGUGUAGGAUAGGUGGGAGACUUUGAAGCGGCCACGCCAGUGGUUGUGGAGUCGUUGUUGAAAUACCACUCUGGUCGUGCUGGAUGUCUAACCUGGGUCCGUGAUCCGGAUCAGGGACAGUGUCUGAUGGGUAGUUUAACUGGGGCGGUUGCCUCCUAAAGAGUAACGGAGGCGCCCAAAGGUUCCCUCAGCCUGGUUGGUAAUCAGGUGUUGAGUGUAAGUGCACAAGGGAGCUUGACUGUGAGACCGACGGGUCGAGCAGGGACGAAAGUCGGGACUAGUGAUCCGGCGGUGGCUUGUGGAAGCGCCGUCGCUCAACGGAUAAAAGGUACCCCGGGGAUAACAGGCUGAUCUUCCCCAAGAGUCCAUAUCGACGGGAUGGUUUGGCACCUCGAUGUCGGCUCGUCGCAUCCUGGGGCUGGAGUCGGUCCCAAGGGUUGGGCUGUUCGCCCAUUAAAGCGGUACGCGAGCUGGGUUUAGAACGUCGUGAGACAGUUCGGUCCCUAUCCGCUGUGCGCGUAGGAGUCUUGAGAAGGGCUGUCCCUAGUACGAGAGGACCGGGACGGACGAACCUCUGGUGUGCCAGUUGUCCUGCCAAGGGCAUGGCUGGUUGGCUACGUUCGGAAAGGAUAACCGCUGAAAGCAUCUAAGCGGGAAGCCUGCUUCGAGAUGAGGACUCCCACCCCCUUUGAGGGGUUAAGGCUCCCAGUAGACGACUGGGUUGAUAGGCCGGAUCUGGAAGCCAGGUAACUGGUGGAGGUGACCGGUACUAAUAGGCCGAGGGCUUGUCCAUAUUU